rnacentral:rRNA from 1 species
AGUGGCAGACGGGUGAGUAAUGCAUAGGAAUCUACCCCUGGGUGGACCAUAGCCCUCCGAAAGGAGGGGUAAUAGUCCAUGGUCUCGCAAGAGUAAAGCCCUUUACUGGGCACCGAGGGAGGAGCCUAUGUCCUAUCAGCUAGUUGGUGAGGUAAUGGCUUACCAAGGCAACGACGGGUAGCUGGACUGAGAGGUCGAUCAGCCACAACUGCACUGAGACACGGGCAGUACACCUACGGGUGGCAGCAACCAGGAAUAUUUGUCAAUGGACGAAAGUCUGAACAAGCGACGCCGCGUGGAGGAUGACAGCCCUCGGGUUGUAAACUCCUUUUGCCAAGCUCUUCACGGCUUGGAGAAUAAGCCUCUACUAACUACGUGCCAGAAGUCUCGGUAAUACGUAGGAGGCAAGCGUUAUCCGGAUUCAUUGGGCGUAAAGUGUGCGUAGGCGGUUUAUUAAGUCUUUAUUUAAAGCCUGUGGCUUACCCAUAG